rnacentral:rRNA from 1 species
UACGGAGGGUGCAAGCGUUAAUCGGAAUUACUGGGCGUAAAGCGCACGUAGGUGGUUUGUUAAGCCAGCUGUGAAAUCCCCGGGCUCAACCUGGGCACUGCAGUUGGAACUGGCAAGCUAGAGUAGGGUAGAGGGGUGUGGAAUUCCAGGUGUAGCGGUGAAAUGCGUAGAUAUCUGGAGGAACAUCAGUGGCGAAGGCGACACCCUGGACUCAUACUGACACUGAGGAGCGAAAGCCAGGGGAGCAAACGGG